UAUAUAUAUCAGUUAUUCUCUUAUCCGGAUAUCCGCACAUUAUUAUUGUGUGGAUGCUAUUGUAAACAGGCAGGAAAAUAGGGAGGGGUAGUACAAAAUACAUGGCGUCCGCACGAUAAUAAUGUCCGGAUGUCAACGUAUGAGAAUUUCUGUACAUAUAUA
rnacentral:pre_miRNA from 1 species